UGGGGAAUUUUGCGCAAUGGGCGAAAGCCUGACGCAGCGACGCCGCGUGUGCGAUGAAGGCCUUUGGGUCGUAAAGCACUGUCGACCGGGACGAAAACUUACGGGCUAAUAUCCCGUAAGCUUGACGGUACUGGUAAAGGAAGCACCGGCUAACUCUGUGCCAGCAGCCGCGGUAAUACAGAGGGUGCAAACGUUGCUCGGAAUUAUUGGGCGUAAAGCGCGUGUAGGCGGUUUGUUAAGUCGGUUGUGAAAGCCCAUGGCUCAACCAUGGAAGUGCGUCCGAAACUGGCAAACUAGAGUCCCGACGAGGAUGGCGGAAUUCCCAGUGUAGAGGUGAAAUUCGUAGAUAUUGGGAGGAACACCGGUGGCGAAGGCGGCCAUCUGGGAGGGUACUGACGCUGAGACGCGAAAGCGUGGGGAGCAAACAGG
rnacentral:rRNA from 1 species